UGGGGAAUAUUGCACAAUGGGCGCAAGCCUGAUGCAGCGACGCCGCGUGGGGGAUGAAGGCUUUCGGGUUGUAAACCUCUUUCGCUAUCGAACAAGGCCCGCUUAGGGUGGGUUGAGGGUAGGUGGAGAAGAAGCGCCGGCUAACUACGUGCCAGCAGCCGCGGUAAUACGUAGGGCGCGAGCGUUGUCCGGAAUUACUGGGCGUAAAGCGCACGCAGGCGGUUGAUUGAGUCAGAUGUGAAAUCCCCGGGCUUAACCCGGGAAUUGCAUCUGAUACUGGUCAGCUAGAGUCUUGUAGAGGGGGGUAGAAUUCCAUGUGUAGCGAUGAAAUGCGUAGAGAUGUGGAGGAAUACCGGUGGCGAAGGCGGCCCCCUGGACGAAGACUGACGCUCAGGUGCGAAAGCGUGGGGAGCAAACAGG
rnacentral:rRNA from 1 species